GACCUGGUGGUGAAUGGUUCACACCCACUCCUCUUGCGGAGCUGCGACUAUAAGUUUAUGCGGGAGUUCUUGGUUCGAUUCCGGGCCAGGUCA